GACGAACGCUGGCGGCGUGCCUAAUAAAUGCAAGUCGAGCGAAGCGGCGGAUGGGUGAGUAACGCGUGGGUAACCUGCCCUUUAGUCUGGGAUACCAUUUGGAAACAGAUGCUCAUACCGGAUACUAACGGAUGGACCUGAGAUGCAUUAGCUAGUUGGUAAGGUAACGGCUUACCAAGGCGAUGAUGCAGAGCGGAGUUGAGGGGCUGUACAGCUACAUUGGGACUGAGACACGGACAAAACUCCAACGGAAGGCGGCAGUGAGGAAUCUUCCACAAUGGACGGAAGUCUGAUGAAGCAGAGCCGCGUGAGUGAAGAAGGUUUUCGUAGCGUGUAGCUCAAUUAGUAAGAAAGCGAUAAACAACCAGAAACUAACGGCUAACGACGUGCCAGCAGCCGCGGUAAUUC
rnacentral:rRNA from 1 species